AUGGGGCGUGCUAAGACGAUCGACAAGGCCGAUCUACAGGAGGUCUUGUCUCUGCGUGAUGAUUUUGGUCUAUUGCAGAGAGAUAAUGUUGGGCUCCGAAUAGAUGUGUCCAGGUUGCAGGAAGAUGUGCAAUCUAUCUGCUCCAAGCAAGGAGAAAUAUCUUUGCAGGUGUGCAGUGUUGAAAAAGCAGUGUUGGAACUGGGCAAGCAACUCUCUGCUAUGAACAUGGCGUUGACAUCAAUUGUAGCCCCGUCAAGUUCUGCAAAUCAAGGAGCAAGACAGACUGAACCUGAUACAUUGUUGAAAUCUCCAACACUUCAACAAGAGGAAGUACCUAGGCAGCACAUUAGAAGAGACCAGCUUAGGCAGCAACUAGAAGCUGAAAAAGAGAAAACCAGACAGUUGGAAGAAUUACAGAUGCAGAAUUUGCCACCCAUCAGAACUAGCAGAACUGUUGUUCCUCCUGGUUUCAAUAAUCAGGUACAUCAGGAGACUACAAGUAUGUUGGGCUCUCCUGUAGCACAAGGAAGGGGAGGUGCAACACCUACAUUCCAGCAAGCAGCAAGGGACGGACAGUUAUGGCAAGGAUAUUUCAGAACUUAUAAGCAGGAUAUGCAGAUACAAUUCAUGAAAUCCAUGACCAAGGGACCUAAAAUGGAUUUCCCAAGAUUUUUUUGGUGA
rnacentral:rRNA from 1 species